GCCUCCGGGCACCAGUCAAUUUUGAAAAACAUACAGAGAAGAUUAGCAUGGCCCCUGCACUAAGGAUGACACGCUCAAUCAAAGAGAAGCUACCAUUUUUU
rnacentral:snRNA from 18 species